rnacentral:rRNA from 1 species
GUCCACACUGUAAACGAUGAUAGCUAGGUGUGGGGGGUCUGACCCCUUCCGUGCCGGAGUUAACGCAAUAAGCUAUCCACCUGGGGAGUACGACCGCAAGGUUGAAACUCAAAGGAAUUGACGGGGGCCCGCACAAGCAGUGGAUUAUGUGGUUUAAUUCGAAGCAACGCGAAGAACCUUACCAGGUCUUGACAUCCGACUAACGAGAUAGAGAUAUGUCAGGUGCCCUUCGGGGAAAGUCGAGACAGGUGGUGCAUGGUUGUCGU